UCGUAGAUCAUUUUUACUAUAAUAAUUCCGGCACGUGGAUUAUACAGUUUCAAUCGAAUUAAUAGUAAAGUGCCAGCAAGAGACCAGUGACAAAACUUAAUAAGUGUUGUGCACGAGUGAGAACGGGGCUAGUUUGGCGCUAGGCGACGGCUCUUACGUCCUUCGCUAAGCGUGGCGUAUCGCCGGCGUGGCAGCCACACGCGGCAAAAGUUGGCGAUCAGCGAACAAGGCGGCGCGGUGCAACCGAGCGGCCAUAACCUUACUCUUUGGAAGCCCUACGGCGGCAGCGACGUCGACGUGCAGCCCAACGCUGUGCGACCGAGCGGCCAUAACCUAACUUUUCGGAGGCCCUACGGCGGCAGAGACGUCGACGUGCGGCCAACGCAGCACGUGCGCGUAACCCUACUUUUUGGGAACCUCUGCUUUGCCACGUCGGCUGCCAAGGAGCUAUAGCGAUCCGAGUGCGACCGCACUAAACCGGGAGCGAGAAAUCUCCAAGAGUCAGACCAGAGGCGGCCUGUGUCUGAGUUCUCGGAGUAAUGUAACCGGCCUCGUGCAGCCCCAACUAAGGCGAUUCGGCUGUAUGGACAGCGGCUAAGCAUUACCUUUUCGAGCAUAAGCCAGUAGGAACAGUGGAGGUGCAGCGAAGGUAGCUGAGCGGAGACUAGGCAGGAGCAGGCGCAGCCGGAUAGAGAGCUCGCUUGAGCGGCAGGCAUGUGACCUGUCGAAGAAGUUGGAGGCGCGUCGCGGUGAGCAGCGCGCUCCCGCUGGAUGAUUCCAGUAACCCGAAGGACGUAAAGUUUUGAGAUCGAUUAAAUUUAGAGUAAUGCGUAACAUUAGAUAGAAAGUAA